CUUUUUUUGAACAGAAUUAGGUUCAAAAUUGAUCAAGAUGACAAUUCUCCCCAGUGAAGAAUGUGGCCACAGUAUCUUGGUAAUAAAUACAAAUCAUAUCUCAACACUGCUGGACUAGGACAGGGGCUGUACUGUCUUCAGCUCCUCCUCUGAGCUGGGAUGUUGAUCACAUGUAGAAGAGUGAGGAGUGGGGUUAGUAGUGGGGUUAGGGAGUGGACAUGCCAUCAGCAUCUGAACUCAGAGGAGGAGCUGAAGACACUCAGGAUUCCUGUGAUGCCUGAGAUCUAAACCAACUCACCCUGUCAGUCCCAGAGCCAGAUUCUGACUCUUCACAGUCUCAGUCCUCAGUGAGAGAGGAGCAGCAGGAGGCAGCAGGGAGGGAGCUGAAGG